rnacentral:rRNA from 1 species
UACGAAGGGGGCUAGCGUUGCUCGGAAUCACUGGGCGUAAAGCGCACGUAGGCGGGUUCUUAAGUCAGGGGUGAAAUCCUGGAGCUCAACUCCAGAACUGCCUUUGAUACUGGGAAUCUCGAGUCCGGGAGAGGUGAGUGGAACUGCGAGUGUAGAGGUGAAAUUCGUAGAUAUUCGCAAGAACACCAGUGGCGAAGGCGGCUCACUGGCCCGGUACUGACGCUGAGGCGCGAAAGCUAGGGGAGCAAACGGG